GCAGAUAUCUGAAAUGAGCUUUGUCUCAUGAACCCUGAUUCCCAGCUCUGCAGUCUGUGACCAACGCCGUGUGUGCAGCUGGCGACCUGUGACACACCUAAGCCAUGUGAUGCCAUCACAUCACAGUCAACUGAGGAACAGCUGUCAUCAACCCUGGAAACUACCUGCUUUGAUGAGCACCAGUUAAGAGGCAAACUAGGUUGGAUAACCUAAUGAUCUAUCUGCAAGUGCACUUUGCUUUGUCAUCUUCAAUCUGCUAUUAAUCUCAUCCAGUGAUUUUAAAAUUUUUUUAGCUUUUUAUUUUUCAGUUCAAUAACUCUUUUGAUAUUUUGUUAUGGUUUAUGUUUCU